GUUUACUGCCAGAACACUCUCCCCCUCACAUUGACUCUCACCAGGAGCGACAACCUUCUUAAGUUAUAGUUGGUGUGAGUUUCCCUUGACUCUCUCACUCUGUUAACCUCUCUCUCUCUUAUAUCUAAACAUGAUCUUUUCACCCUUUAUCUCACUAUCUUUCAGGUAACAGCAAGAAAGUAGUUAUGACUCACACCCAAAUCCCCUCCUAAACAAAGCCCUCAAAGUCAAUCAUCAACUUACUUUCUGAAAGUGUACAAGGAAAUAAGAGGUUCUUUGAUUCCAGUCAGAUGCUUACCUGAAGAAACGAGAGGACAAGCACUUCUUCACACUGAGGAGGAGCUGCAGAUCAAGCAUCUGUCCUGGUUCAACGCAGACAUUCCAGACUCGACACUGUGUGAAGUUAACCCGCAGACAGGGGAGAUCGAGCCGCCGAACCCACAGAACCCACAGAACCCACAGAACUUACACAGACGCGUGCAGUGCACUUACACCCCAUCCUCCCAGCUGACCCUGACCCUGUUCCCCGUACGACCACAUGAUCAGGGAACGUACACCUGCAAGCUGCGCUCAACCAAAGGGAUAAAGGUUUCAACUACGCGCGUGGAGUUACAAGAGUGCUACAGGGAGGCCUUUGCCAGCUUCAACGACCUGGGUCCCACCUGCGUCUUCACUGGGGUCUACCCUGACGGAGAUGUACACUGGUUCCAGGGAACCAACAACCUGACUGGGGACGCCCAAAACAACACUAAGCAAGAGGAGGUUGGAGGUGCGCGGACUGUGACUAGUUCCCUGAAGAUAGGAAAUGAGGGAGGGGCCUACAACUGUUCCCUGUGGAUACCCAGCACCGGAGUCUACCUGACCAGUAGAGAUAUAGGAUGUGUGGAGGAAUCUUCUUUUCGUUCCAAAUCAAUAGCCGGAUGUGGGGUGGCGGCAUUCGGACCUGUGUGGACACUCUAUUUUUUUUUUCUCUUCUUGCAUUCCAUUGUUUCCUCUGUAUAGCAAACAGCA
ensembl:lncRNA